ACGUAGGGUGCGAGCGUUAAUCGGAAUUACUGGGCGUAAAGCGUGCGCAGGCGGUUAUGUAAGACAGAUUUUAAAUUCCCGGGCUCAACCUCGGGGCGGAUUUUGUGACUGUAUAACUAGAGUACGGUAGAGGGAGGCGGAAUUCCAGGUGUAGCAGUGAAAUGCGUAGAGAUGCGGAGGAACACCGAUGGCGAAGGCAGCUUACUGGGCUAGUACUGACGCUGAUGCGCGAAAGCUUGGGGAGCAAACAG
rnacentral:rRNA from 1 species